rnacentral:rRNA from 1 species
GACGAACGCUGGCGGCGUGCCUAAUACAUGCAAGUUGAGCGAUGAAGCUUGGUGCUUGCACCAAUUUGAAGAGCAGCGAACGGGUGAGUAACGCGUGGGGAAUCUGCCUUUGAGCGGGGGACAACAUUUGGAAACGAAUGCUAAUACCGCAUAAUAACUUUAAACAUAAGUUUUAAGUUUGAAAGAUGCAAUUGCAUCACUCAAGGAUGAUCCCGCGUUGUAUUAGCUAGUUGGUGAGGUAAAGGCUCACCAAGGCGAUGAUACAUAGCCGACCUGAGAGGGUGAUCGGCCACAUUGGGACUGAGACACGGCCCAAACUCCUACGGGAGGCAGCAGUAGGGAAUCUUCGGCAAUGGACGAAAGUCUGACCGAGCAACGCCGCGUGAGUGAAGAAGGUUUUCGGAUCGUAAAACUCUGUUGGUAGAGAAGAACGUUGGUGAGAGUGGAAAGCUCAUCAAGUGACGGUAACUACCCAGAAAGGGACGGCUAACUACGUG